rnacentral:rRNA from 1 species
UGGGGAAUAUUGGACAAUGGGGGGAACCCUGAUCCAGCCAUGCCGCGUGUGUGAAGAAGGCCUUAUGGUUGUAAAGCACUUUAAGCGAGGAGGAGGGUACUGGUAUUAAUACUACCAGGUACUGGACGUUACUCGCAGAAUACGCACCGGCUAAAUCUGUGCCAGCAGCCGCGGUAAUACAGAGGGUGCGAGCGUUAAUCGGAUUUACUGGGCGUAAAGCGUGCGUAGGCGGCUAAUUGAGUCGGAUGUGAAAUCCCCGAGCUUAACUUGGGAAUUGCAUUCGAUACUGGUUAGCUAGAGUGUGGGAGAGGAUGGUAGAAUUCCAGGUGUAGCGGUGAAAUGCGUAGAGAUCUGGAGGAAUACCGAUGGCGAAGGCAGCCAUCUGGCCUAACACUGACGCUGAGGUACGAAAGCAUGGGGAGCAAACAGG